rnacentral:rRNA from 1 species
AGUAACACGUGGGCAACCUGCCCCUCACAUUGGGAUAACCCCGGGAAACCGGAGCUAAUACCAAAUAUGACCUUGAUAGGCAUCUAUCGAGGUGUAAAGGAUUCUGGUGAGGGAUGGGCCCGCGGCCUAUCAGUUAGUUGGUGAGGUAACGGCUCACCAAGGCGACGACGGGUAGCCGGCCUGAGAGGGCGAUCGGCCACACUGGAACUGAGACACGGUCCAGACUCC